rnacentral:rRNA from 1 species
ACCCGCACAAGCGGUGGAGCAUGUGGUUUAAUUCGAAGAUACGCGAAGACCUUACCCAGGCUUGACAUGGUACGAACCUUGUAGAAAUAUGAGGGUGCUCUUCGGAGAGCGUACACACAGGUGCUGCACGGCUGUCGUCAGCUCGUGUCGUGAGAUGUUGGGUUAAGUCCCGCAACGAGCGCAACCCUUAUCAUUAGUUGCUACGCAAGGGCACUCUAAUGAGACUGCCGGUGACAAACCGGAGGAAGGUGGGGAUGACGUCAAGUCCUCAUGGCCCUUAUGGGUAGGGCUUCACACGUCAUACAAUGGUCGGUACAGAGGGUUGCCAAGCCGCGAGGCGGAGCCAAUCCCACAAAGCCGAUCGUAGUCCGGAUUGUUCUCUGCAACUCGAGAGCAUGGAGUCGGAAUCGCUAGUAAUCGCAGGUCAGCAUACUGCGGUGAAUACGUUCCCGGGUCUU